rnacentral:lncRNA from 1 species
AGAGGAAAGAACCCUGGGAAGGGCCGGCCAGGGGAGAAUGAGCUGGGGAUGGGAGAAGUCGCAUGAAGAAUCCUCUGCCCGGAGCCUGCAGACUCCAACCCCUCAGUUUGAGAGUCAGGAGCCCCACAGUCCUCACAGCAACAGGACGCACCAGCUCCUGGUCUCGAAAAAAGGAGGGCCCCAACUCCAGGGAUGGCGGCCCGGCGGGGAGCUGAGAACACGCGAACUCUAGGGAAAGGACAGGGCUUCAGGGACCCGAAAGUCGAGCACCGGGAAAUGUGGCUGCCUCUGCGGCAGAGCUGGAAGGGCCCUCGAAUGCCAUUCACAGGAACAGCCCGGGGACCCAGGGACAUCAGAAGGAUUGGUUUGUCCGAAAAGUGAGAGGAGGCGGAAGAGAGAGCCUGUGAGGUGGUCAAGCUGCAGAGAACACAAGCUUCUACCUCCAGAUGUGCCAUGGUGCAUCUCUAUAAACUCAGAUAUUGGUCAGGCACGAUGGUUCAGGCUCUGGAAGUUGAAGGAUAGCUUGAGCCCAGGAGUUUGAGGCUGCAGUGAGCUAGGAUCUCACCACUACACUCCAGCCUGGGUGACAGAAAGAGAUUUGUCUCAAAAAUAAAUAAAGAAAAUUUAAAAAUAAAAA